AACGAACGCUGGCGGCAGGCCUAACACAUGCAAGUCGAGCGCCCCGCAAGGGGAGCGGCGGACGGGUGAGUAACGCGUGGGAAUAUGCCCUUUGCUACGGAAUAGGCUCGGGAAACUGGGGGUAAUACCGUAUACGCCCUUUGGGGGAAAGAUUUAUCGGCGAAGGAUUAGCCCGCGUUGGAUUAGGUAGUUGGCGGGGUAAUGGCCUACCAAGCCGACGAUCCAUAGCUGGUUUGAGAGGAUGAUCAGCCACACUGGGACUGAGACACGGCCCAGACUCCUCCGGGAGGCAGCAGUGGGGAAUCUUAGACAAUCGGGGCAACCCUGAUCUAGCCAUGCCGCGUGAGUGAUGAAGGCCUUAUGGUUGUAAAGCUCUUUCAGCUGGGAAGAUAAUGACGGUACCAGCAGAAGAAGCCCCGGCUAACUCCGUG
rnacentral:rRNA from 1 species